UAUACUCUGUUUUUUGCAAUGAUUUUGUUUUGUGAAAUUUUUCUCGGAGAAGAAAGUAAUUUAGAAGACGGAGAGUGGCAAAACGAAAUAUAAAAAA
rnacentral:sRNA from 1 species